AUUGAACGCUGGCGGCAGGCCUAACACAUGCAAGUCGAGCGGCAGGCGGACGGGUGAUGAAUGGGUGGGAAACUGCCGGAUGGAGAUGGAUAACGCAUGAAAAAGGUAGCUAAGACCGCAUACCAUCAAAUGUGCCCAGAUGGGGGUAGCUAGUAGGUGGGGUAACGGCUUACCUAGGCGACGCUCCCUAGCUGGUCUGAGAGGAUGACCAGCCACACUGGAACUGAGACACGGCCCAGACUCCUACGGGAGGCAGCAGUGGGGAAUAGUGCACAAUGGGCGCAAGCCUGAUGCAGCCAUGCCGCGUGUAUGAAGAAGGCCUUCGGGUUGUAAAGCACUUUCAGUCGGGAGGCGUUACCUGCAGAAGAAGCACCGGCUAACUCCGUGCCAGCAGCCGCGGUAAUUC
rnacentral:rRNA from 1 species